GGGUUGUGAGGUUAAGCGACUAAGCGUACACGGUGGAUGCCCUGGCAGUCAGAGGCGAUGAAGGACGUGCUAAUCUGCGAUAAGCGUCGGUAAGGUGAUAUGAACCGUUAUAACCGGCGAUUUCCGAAUGGGGAAACCCAGUGUGUUUCGACACACUAUCAUUAACUGAAUCCAUAGGUUAAUGAGGCGAACCGGGGGAACUGAAACAUCUAAGUACCCCGAGGAAAAGAAAUCAACCGAGAUUCCCCCAGUAGCGGCGAGCGAACGGGGAGCAGCCCAGAGCCUGAAUCAGUGUGUGUGUUAGUGGAAGCGUCUGGAAAGGCGCGCGAUACAGGGUGACAGCCCCGUACACAAAAAUGCACAUAUUGUGAGCUCGAUGAGUAGGGCGGGACACGUGGUAUCCUGUCUGAAUAUGGGGGGACCAUCCUCCAAGGCUAAAUACUCCUGACUGACCGAUAGUGAACCAGUACCGUGAGGGAAAGGCGAAAAGAACCCCGGCGAGGGGAGUGAAAAAGAACCUGAAACCGUGUACGUACAAGCAGUGGGAGCCUCUUUUAUGGGGUGACUGCGUACCUUUUGUAUAAUGGGUCAGCGACUUAUAUUCUGUAGCAAGGUUAACCGAAUAGGGGAGCCGAAGGGAAACCGAGUCUUAACUGGGCGUUAAGUUGCAGGGUAUAGACCCGAAACCCGGUGAUCUAGCCAUGGGCAGGUUGAAGGUUGGGUAACACUAACUGGAGGACCGAACCGACUAAUGUUGAAAAAUUAGCGGAUGACUUGUGGCUGGGGGUGAAAGGCCAAUCAAACCGGGAGAUAGCUGGUUCUCCCCGAAAGCUAUUUAGGUAGCGCCUCGUGAAUUCAUCUCCGGGGGUAGAGCACUGUUUCGGCAAGGGGGUCAUCCCGACUUACCAACCCGAUGCAAACUGCGAAUACCGGAGAAUGUUAUCACGGGAGACACACGGCGGGUGCUAACGUCCGUCGUGAAGAGGGAAACAACCCAGACCGCCAGCUAAGGUCCCAAAGUCAUGGUUAAGUGGGAAACGAUGUGGGAAGGCCCAGACAGCCAGGAUGUUGGCUUAGAAGCAGCCAUCAUUUAAAGAAAGCGUAAUAGCUCACUGGUCGAGUCGGCCUGCGCGGAAGAUGUAACGGGGCUAAACCAUGCACCGAAGCUGCGGCAGCGACGCUUAUGCGUUGUUGGGUAGGGGAGCGUUCUGUAAGCCUGUGAAGGUGUGCUGUGAGGCAUGCUGGAGGUAUCAGAAGUGCGAAUGCUGACAUAAGUAACGAUAAAGCGGGUGAAAAGCCCGCUCGCCGGAAGACCAAGGGUUCCUGUCCAACGUUAAUCGGGGCAGGGUGAGUCGACCCCUAAGGCGAGGCCGAAAGGCGUAGUCGAUGGGAAACAGGUUAAUAUUCCUGUACUUGGUGUUACUGCGAAGGGGGGACGGAGAAGGCUAUGUUGGCCGGGCGACGGUUGUCCCGGUUUAAGCGUGUAGGCUGGUUUUCCAGGCAAAUCCGGAAAAUCAAGGCUGAGGCGUGAUGACGAGGCACUACGGUGCUGAAGCAACAAAUGCCCUGCUUCCAGGAAAAGCCUCUAAGCAUCAGGUAACAUCAAAUCGUACCCCAAACCGACACAGGUGGUCAGGUAGAGAAUACCAAGGCGCUUGAGAGAACUCGGGUGAAGGAACUAGGCAAAAUGGUGCCGUAACUUCGGGAGAAGGCACGCUGAUAUGUAGGUGAAGUCCCUUGCGGAUGGAGCUGAAAUCAGUCGAAGAUACCAGCUGGCUGCAACUGUUUAUUAAAAACACAGCACUGUGCAAACACGAAAGUGGACGUAUACGGUGUGACGCCUGCCCGGUGCCGGAAGGUUAAUUGAUGGGGUCAGCGCAAGCGAAGCUCUUGAUCGAAGCCCCGGUAAACGGCGGCCGUAACUAUAACGGUCCUAAGGUAGCGAAAUUCCUUGUCGGGUAAGUUCCGACCUGCACGAAUGGCGUAAUGAUGGCCAGGCUGUCUCCACCCGAGACUCAGUGAAAUUGAACUCGCUGUGAAGAUGCAGUGUACCCGCGGCAAGACGGAAAGACCCCGUGAACCUUUACUAUAGCUUGACACUGAACAUUGAGCCUUGAUGUGUAGGAUAGGUGGGAGGCUUAGAAGUGUGGACGCCAGUCUGCAUGGAGCCGACCUUGAAAUACCACCCUUUAAUGUUUGAUGUUCUAACGUUGACCCGUAAUCCGGGUUGCGGACAGUGUCUGGUGGGUAGUUUGACUGGGGCGGUCUCCUCCUAAAGAGUAACGGAGGAGCACGAAGGUUGGCUAAUCCUGGUCGGACAUCAGGAGGUUAGUGCAAUGGCAUAAGCCAGCUUGACUGCGAGCGUGACGGCGCGAGCAGGUGCGAAAGCAGGUCAUAGUGAUCCGGUGGUUCUGAAUGGAAGGGCCAUCGCUCAACGGAUAAAAGGUACUCCGGGGAUAACAGGCUGAUACCGCCCAAGAGUUCAUAUCGACGGCGGUGUUUGGCACCUCGAUGUCGGCUCAUCACAUCCUGGGGCUGAAGUAGGUCCCAAGGGUAUGGCUGUUCGCCAUUUAAAGUGGUACGCGAGCUGGGUUUAGAACGUCGUGAGACAGUUCGGUCCCUAUCUGCCGUGGGCGCUGGAGAACUGAGGGGGGCUGCUCCUAGUACGAGAGGACCGGAGUGGACGCAUCACUGGUGUUCGGGUUGUCAUGCCAAUGGCACUGCCCGGUAGCUAAAUGCGGAAGAGAUAAGUGCUGAAAGCAUCUAAGCACGAAACUUGCCCCGAGAUGAGUUCUCCCUGACUCCUUGAGAGUCCUGAAGGAACGUUGAAGACGACGACGUUGAUAGGCCGGGUGUGUAAGCGCAGCGAUGCGUUGAGCUAACCGGUACUAAUGAACCGUGAGGCUUAACCUUACAACGCCGAAG
rnacentral:rRNA from 1 species